UUUUUAUGGAGAGUUUGAUCCUGGCUCAGGAUGAACGCUGGCGGCGUGCCUAAUACAUGCAAGUCGAGCGAACAGACAAGGAGCUUGCUCCUUUGACGUUAGCGGCGGACGGGUGAGUAACACGUGGG
rnacentral:rRNA from 3 species